CCCUUGUUUAUUUGCUGUCUCCUUCGCCUUGCUUCACAACACAACCAAUUGGUAGGACCAAACCUACCAAUAUGAACUGAGCUGAGGACCUGCUGUAGGACCUGUGACAGAAUGGUCCGCAUUUUGAGUGGUAUGUGGAGGACUUCCUGGAUCUUUCCCAUCUGCUCCUCCCAAGGUAGCGGCUUGCGCUGCAACAUUUCCAGAAGUGGCGGAGACCGCUCCAGAAUGCUCUCCAGAGUCCAUUCCAAAAUGCUCUUCAGUGCUCAACCAGGGGUCCACUAACACCACAGAGCUCAACCAGGAGCUCACUCACGCCACAGAGCUCAACCGGGAGCCCAGUCCUCCUAAGUCUCCUGAAUCUCAGCUGGUUCCAUCCAGCUCUCCUGAGUCUCCUGAAUCUCAGCUGGUUCCGUCCAGCUCUCCUAAAUCUCCUGAAUCUCCACUGGUUCCAUCCAGCUCUCCUGGGUCUCCUGAAUCUCUGCUGGUUCCGUCUAGCUCCCCUGAGUCUCCUGAAUCUCAGCUGGUUCCGUCCAGUUCUCCUGAGUCUCCUGAAUUUCUGCUGGUUCCGGCCAGUUUUUUAGGUUUGUAGGUUUUACAGGUGCAGGAAUUUUUAGUGUUUUAUAUACAUAAGAUACAUAAGAACAUGAACAAAGAAAUAAAGUAAAUCAAACUGACAAAUACAAUAAAACAAAGACACAAGUGAAAUAAACAGUGCCUUAAGUUUUCCAUGAAGGUCUGUUCAGGUAAAUAAUAUAGCCUACAAAAUAAAUCUAAUAAGCAAUCAAAUGUAAAUGAACACUGCAUAGUUUUCAAUGUAUGAGUUGAUAGAUUAAUGCUUAUUAAAGCUAACGUUAUUCAGAUUGAGAGCUGUAAGUAAUUUUCUCUUUGCAUUUUGCUGUUUGAUUAACAUUGAUGGCUCAAGCGCCAGUCACUGCUGUCACUUUAAAACAAUAUUAAUUGACACACAUCGGAUUUUCUCCCAACUGUUCACGACUACUUAAGACAUAAACUGUGUUUAAGUGAAUACUCUCCCAAGCUGGCUAUUUUGACAUAUUUUGUGUGUAUUUGAUCGCUUGGACGUGCACCUGAAGCCCUAAGUUGCUUGUCUAGUCCGUGCGCACACAUUUCAACCUGGGGAAGAGCAUCUCUUGCCCGGAAUAUUGUGCUUUCAACAUUUUAUUAUCAAACAUGUCCCUCAAUUUAGCAACAGUUAAGACGCCAUUUUACAACAAUCACUGUUUGUGCUCAUUCUGACGUUAGGUUUGGGUUUUAGGGUGGAGCAAAUGCACACCACUGUUAAAGGGUUAGUACCCAAAAAAUUUAAAUUAGCCUGUAUUUUACUCACCUUCGAAGAAUCCUAGGUGUAUAUGACUUUCUUCUUUCAGACGAAUCCUGUUGUAGUUACAGUAUAUUUAAAAUUGUCCUGGUUAUUCCAAGCUGUAUCUUUGCAGUCAGUGGGUGUUGCAGUUGAACAGUCCACAAGUUGUCAAAUAAAGUGUGCUUCGGGGGCUGAAUAAAGGCCUCCUGUAGUGAAUCCAUUCGUUUUUGUAAGAAAAAUAUCCAUAUAUCACAUGUAAUAAACACUUUUCUCUCACUUCCUGUAUCUGUCAUACGUACAAGUACUUUUUGAGGCUGAUGUAUACUAUCCUAAAGUUUUGCAUCAUGUGAUGUACUGUAGCAAUUAAGAGUUUGGCGAUAAAUAAAUCUCCCCUGACAGGCAUUGGGACAUCUUGCAUACAAAACGAAUGCAAACGUUAGCAAGUGAACACCCUUUUUGAGCAGUGCCCUUUUUUCUUUUUUUUCUUUUUUCUUUUUUUGGAGUAUAGCUUCCUUUCUUUCUGUCUCUGUCCUGUGGGGAAGGACGGUCCUGGUUUCAUUAUCUGUUAAAAUACACACUAAAUGCUAAUAUGUACAAUAAGAGGGUGCUAAGGCCCUGGAUAGACAGAUAAUCUAUUAUUGGAAGAGAUCUUUGGCUAUUCAACAUGUUUCAACUAUAGGAGGUCUCGAUGCAUUAUAUGUUGUCAAUCCAACUGAUCUGCUGGUGGAAAAGAAGGUAGAUACGGAUUAGACAAAUCUGAAAUAAUCUGCUGAAAGCUCAAAAGCUUGAGAUGUCUAGAGUUUUUUGGUCAUUUAUUCAUUUUAGGAGGUCAGCAGCACUAAUGAAAGCUAUAGGCACUUGAUGGGCUUCUGGGAUUGACGAAUUGGAUUGACAGAAUGACGGUAGCACAGAAGAGUUAAGUUUUACUGCUCUUUAAAUAGACCACAUGAUUUGACCUCUACAGGUCAUGUUGAUGACAGCUGUUUGGACCCGGUCAUUGCCCUUGUUUACUCUGUCAGUCCUGUGUCUACAUAACAGCUUCUUGGUUCAGGCACAUAAUCAUUUGGGUGAAUGGUGAAGAAUUGUGUCACAGUUCAGAAAUUUUACAGAAAAUAAAUUAGUCAUAAAAACGAGAAGUGUUGCAGAAAUGCCUGUGCGUUGAGUUAGAUAUCAGUGUCAAGGUAAACAUGAGAUGUCAG
ensembl:lncRNA